rnacentral:lncRNA from 1 species
GACCUACUGCUUUUGAUGAUAUUCAGGAAACAUUAUGAAAUCAUUAACACUUUUUGGAGUUAUCUUUAUCUGUUUAGCUCUCUUUAGAGCUGCUUUUGCACAAGAAGAUGAUGUGGAAUCGGAUGAGUAUAUUAAUCAAGAAAAACGAUUUUGGGCCCCUUUAGCUAGAUGGGCUGGAGGACAAGCUGCAAAGUAUGGAUUUAACAAAUGGAAAAAGCACCAAGGACAUCACAAAGGCUGAAAACAAAAUGAAUAAAGCAUAAAGUCGAAAAGUUUCUGUGAUAUACUGUAUUUUAAUGUUCAUGUGACCUAACAAAUCAAUACUUUGAUGAUAAUU